rnacentral:rRNA from 1 species
CGGACGGGUGAGUAAUGUCUGGGAAACUGCCUGAUGGAGGGGGGUAACUACUGGAAACGGUAGCUAAUACCGCAUAACGUCUUCGGACCAAAGUGGGGGACCUUCGGGCCUCACGCCAUCGGAUGUGCCCAGAUGGGAUUAGCUAGUAGGUGGGGUAACGGCUCACCUAGGCGACGAUCCCUAGCUGGUCUGAGAGGAUGACCAGCCACACUGGAACUGAGACACGGUCCAG